GCGCGCAGGGGCUGCUGGUACCGUGUGUGCGGGUGGGCCCCGGUAAGGAGCUCCAGCCAUGGCGGCGGUGUGAGGAGAGGAGGAGGUGUGGAGCCCGUGUGAGGCCGGAGGGGAAGUGCUGCACCAUGCUGACUGCCCCAGCAGAUAGCUCUGGUGACUACAAAAAGCAGCAGAUGGAACUGAGCCAGAGCCAUAGCAGCUCUGGUUUGCACUACUCAGAAGAUACCUUUGAGUCCUUCAGUGAGGACGAGGAAGCCCACUGGCAGAGAGAAAGUGACCCACCUGAAUCAUAUUGUUCCACAGAGGAUUUGGAGGGCUCUGCUGUGUCAGAUGAGCAGCCUGAAGUAGCAGAUUCUGCAGCUGCAGAAAGAGAUCUCGUGGGACGCUGGAUUGGUCUAAUAACUAAAAAAUCUGACAUUAAGCAAGAUGGAUCAGUCAUCAAAACUCAUGCUGAAAUGAGUGAACUCUCAGGUGAAGAACUGGAUGCUCUCAGGUCCUUUUGCACUAAGAAGAUAAGUGGGAUGCAUCAGCAGCUGAUCUCCAAGCAGACAAAUAGUGACAAGUCAAGAAAGCUGCAGCUGGGAUUGACAGCAAAGAAACCAGACACAAAUGACUUGAGCUGCAUUGUUCCUGAUGGGCUGAUGAACAGAAUCCGCCUGAAAAACAUCGGUGAGACUGUUAAACAGGUGACAGAAACUCGGAUCCACGAUCCCUCGGUGUGCCCUGACUGUCAGGAGAAGGAGGCAGAGCUAGCCAAGAUCACCUUCUGCAGAAGAAAGAAGGUUCUGAUGGAAAGUGCUUUAAUCCAAGAGAAACUGGAAGAACAGAUUUACUUAAGAGAUACGUUUACACUUCUAGGAGAAGCACUCAGAAGCUUACCCAAACCUUCAGAGGAUCCCAGGAACCUAAGGCAAAGGCUGAAAGGAUUCUGUGGAUCUUUGCACUGACAGCAGAAUGAUCUGUAUGGGAGGAAAGGGAGGGGGAGCAUAUACCUUCUGUCAGUAAGGUAAAGGAUGCAUCGAGUUUGGUGGCUGUCUGAAAUCCUCAGCUUCAUCAAAAUGAUGAAGGCCAGAAAUCAGACCUAAGCUAUUGCAGUUGUGUUGUUUUAAUAGGAAGCUGAUUGUAUGUAGCUGACCAUUAGGCUAUCUCAAACCUCCUUUGGCUUCCUGAUGACACUAAGACUGGUUGUUAAGACACAUAAACCAGCAGCAAGUGAGGAAAAGGUAUAAUACUGUUCUCAAGUGGACACAAAACCAUCUUUCCAAAGUAAGGACGACUGACCUCAAACUAUGAACCUGCUCCUUGUGAAGUAGCAUUACAAAAUCCUCUUUGAUCUCAGCAGCAGGAGAAUCUUUGGUUCCUAUCUUCGUGUGUGUCCUGUGCUCCUCCAGACUGCAUUUUCAAGCGCUGAAUUACUUCUGGCUUUUAUACCAUCUUAAAUAUAUAUUGGCUUUUUAAUAGAGUUUCAGGCUUGCUUGCUUUCUGCUUUCAGCUUGCUUGUAAAUGUCCCUGCUGCCUUUCAAAUUGUCUCUUCUAUUUUUAUUGCAUUACGGAAGAAUGCGCCUCCUGCCUCUAAAUUUGCAUCUUUUUGAUGUAGAAAACAUUUGUAUGAAAUGUAUCCAUCAUGUUGCAAACCUGCUAUGUAAAUGCUGCUUUUCUCCUCAUCCAGAGCUAGUGUAGCAAGACAUCUACUGAUACCCUUGCGCCCGAAAUUGCAGGUGAAAGCCACAGGGGGAGUGAGAGCAAAUGAAAGCAGGGACAAGGGGAGGGGGGAAGGAGGAAGGAAUGGGAGAAGGAAAGAAGGAAGGAAAGGCCUCAGAGAGCUUGUAGUGAGAUGCUUUAGCCUUGCUACUUAUUUUUCCCUGCAUCUUUGAUAGACUCGCAUGUAAGAGCAAAGGGCCAGAUUUUAGGAAUGUCUUAAGUACGUAAGUCCACCCUUGCCAUUUGGGUUUUGAAAAUGGCAAGGGUGAACUUACGUACGCCUUAAGAGUUGUUGCACAACUUAUGUCCAGCAUCUUUGGGUGCUUAAAAUACUUUUGGAAAUCAUAAGGUUUCAGGUCUACAAAGUGCUGAUGAGCUUCCAGCUGAGAGCCAGUUGGGAUUCCUGCUUCCCAGCAGGUUCUGGAGGUAUGGGCUAAAAUGGUAAAUGUUGGGUUGUUACAGAACAACUGUUCAGGUAUGUUUGCAGUGUCGUGGGGUUUGUAGGUGUUAAACACUAUGGGCUUAUCUGAGAAGUCCUAAAAUCGAACCACCUCUUUAUGCCUCUAUUUUCUGUAUUGUUGAUCUCAGAACAGAAAAUGUGCUCUGUUUUUACACAUAGUCAUCCUUAGAAAUAUGUCUUGUAUAAACCCUUUGUGGUUGCACCCAGUGAUAUAAGUGACAACGUAGAUAAAGAUUUAAGCAAGUUGAUUAAUCUUUUAAUUCAGUGUAUAAAGUUCUAGUCCUGAUCUCUCAGAAUGCUGAAUGCUGUUUUUAUGCCAGUGAGCAAGAAAACUCUGCUUUUAGCAGUUGUUCAACUUAUUCUGUCUUCACUA